rnacentral:rRNA from 1 species
CCUACGGGGGGCAGCAGUGGGGAAUAUUGCGCAAUGGGGGGAACUCUGACGCAGCCAUGCCGCGUGAAUGAAGAAGGCCUUCGGGUUGUAAAGUUCUUUCGGUAUUGAGGAAGGAAUGUAUGUUAAUAGCAUACAUUAUUGACGUUAAAUACAGAAGAAGCACCGGCUAACUCCGUGCCAGCAGCCGCGGUAAUACGGAGGGUGCGAGCGUUAAUCGGAAUAACUGGGCGUAAAGGGCACGCAGGCGGUUAUUUAAGUGAGGUGUGAAAGCCCCGGGCUUAACCUGGGAAUUGCAUUUCAGACUGGGUAACUAGAGUACUUUAGGGAGGGGUAGAAUUCCACGUGUAGCGGUGAAAUGCGUAGAGAUGUGGAGGAAUACCGAAGGCGAAGGCAGCCCCUUGGGAAUGUACUGACGCUCAUGUGCGAAAGCGUGGGGAGCAAACAGGAUUAGAUACCCUUGUAGUC